AACGAACGCUGGCGGCAGGCUUAACACAUGCAAGUCGAACGAGAUCUUCGGAUCUAGUGGCAGACGGGUGAGGAACACGUGGGAACAUCCCUUUCAGUUCGGAAUAACGUUGGGAAACUAACGCUAAUACCGGAUACGUCCUUCGGGAGAAAGAUUUAUCGCUGAAAGAUUGGCCCGCGUCUGAUUAGCUAGUUGGUGAGGUAACGGCUCACCAAGGCUACGAUCAGUAGCUGAUCUGAGAGGAUGAUCAGCCACAUUGGGACUGAGACACGGCCCAAACUCCUACGGGAGGCAGCAGUGGGGAAUAUUGGACAAUGGGCGCAAGCCUGAUCCAGCCAUGCCGCGUGAGUGAUGACGGCCUUCGGGUUGUAAAGCUCUUUUGUCCGGGAAGAUAAUGACUGUACCGGAAGAAUAAGCCCCGGCAAACUUCGUGCCAGCAGCCGCAGUAA
rnacentral:rRNA from 1 species